GUGGGGAAUAUUGGGCAAUGGGGGAAACCCUGACCCAGCAACGCCGCGUGAAGGACGAAGGCCUUCGGGUUGUAAACUUCUUUGAUCAGGGACGAAACAAAUGACGGUACCUGAGGAACAAGCCACGGCUAACUACGUGCCAGCAGCCGCGGUAAUACGUAGGUGGCAAGCGUUAUCCGGAUUUACUGGGUGUAAAGGGCGUGUAGGCGGUCUGGCAAGUCGGAAGUGAAAUUCCCGGGCUUAACCCGGGCGCUGCUCCCGAAACUGCCGGACUUGAGUACUGGAGAGGAUAGUGGAAUUCCUAGUGUAGCGGUAAAAUGCGUAGAUAUUAGGAGGAACACCAGUGGCGAAGGCGGCUAUCUGGACAGUAACUGACGCUGAGGCGCGAAAGCGUGGGGAGCAAACAGGAUUAGAAACCCCUGUAGUCC
rnacentral:rRNA from 1 species